ACCUGAUUGGCCCUGCCAGUCAGCAAAUUGUUCUCGAGAAUUAUUCCACAUAUGUGCCAGUUCAAAAGCUUUUACAUGAGACUGCGGACGGCUCAGUAUAUCAGUGAUAAUCUGUUUGAUUGUCUCUCCCAUUGGAUAACCGUGGGAAAUCUAGAGCUAAUACGCGCUGUUCAUCGGUUUGUCUUCGGACGAGUCAAAGCAUUUAUUAGACUAAACCAUUUACUGUGCUCGCAUAGUAAGGGGAAUCUAGAUAACUUUGCUGAUCGUAUGGCCUAGUGCCGGCGACGUUUCAAUUGAGUUUCUUAACCAGAUCAGGGUUCGAUUCGACGAAAAGGGAGCCUGAGAGGCUACCACAUCCAAGGAAGGCUGAGAAACGGCUACCACAUCCAAGGAAGGCAGGCGGGCAGAUUACCCAAUCUAGACUGUCGUAGUUCCCGAGAUAAAAUACUAGGUGUGACCCAAUGAGUUACCAGUUUGGGCUCAACGUAACUUAAGAAUUCGAUGAGAAACAACUGGAGGGCAAGUCCUGGUGCCAGCAGCCGCGGUAAUUCCAGCUCCAGUAAUUUGCUUUAAAGUUGUUGCGUUUAAAGCGUUCGUAGUUGGAUCACGCAGCAGUGCCUAGUAAUCUACUAUUCGACGUAUCACUGAAAACCACUUGGUGUGGCCUUUCAUGAGCUGUCAUUAGCAGAUACCAACGCUGAGCACCUCAAGUUGCACGUGAGAUGAAUUGUUGGCCUUUAUUUAGUCGGAUUCUCGUCUUGCGGAGUGUGCCUUGAAUAAAACAGAGUGCUUAAAGCGGGUCGUUGCCUGAGCAUGGAACGAACAAUCGUGUAUAUGUGUGUAUCCUAGAUUGGUGACGAGCCUUAGGCUUGUUGUUGAUCUGGAUGAUCAGAUACCGUCGUAGUUAUGGCUGUUGGUUCCAUAUACGGUGAUGAUUAAAAGGAGCGGUUGGGGGCAUCGGUAUUUGGCCGCGAGAGGUGGCCAAGCACUACAAAAGCAAAGCCACUAGUCUAGACUGUUUCCAUUAUCAAGAACGAGAGUGGGAGGUUCGAAGACGAUCAGAUACCGUCCUAGUCCCCACCGUAAACUAUGCCGACCUGGGAUCAGUUCAGAGAUGUCGAAGCUCUGGAUUGGUCCCCAUAGGAAACCUGAAGUUUUUUGUGACGGGGAAAGUAUGGUCGCAAGGUGUAAAUUAAAGGAAUUGACGGAAGGGCACCACCAGGGGUGGAGCCUGCGGCUUAAUUUGACUCAACACGGGGGAAAAUUACCUGGUCCGGACAUCGAUAGGAUUAACAGAUCAAUAGCUCUUUUUAUGAUACGAUGAGUGGUGGUGCAUGGCCGUUUCUUAGUUCGUGGAGUGAUCUGUCGGCCUAAUCGCGGUAACGAACGAGACCACAGUCUCCAUUUAAGAGAUAGAAGAAGACAUGUGCAGUUUGGUGAGGUGGCACUCGCUGUUACCUCAUCAGCUGUUGGUUGCAGGAAGGAUGAAGCGCUCAUGUCGGUGAGUUUGUGGGGAAACUUGCGCUCUCAUCGGUGUGAGUGUAUCAUUUCUCCCUUCUAUCACGCAGUAGUCGGUAUCAACUGGCUGCUGCCUUAUGGAGAGACAACGAGGUAUAUACAAGCUCGAGGAAGAGUGGGUAUAACAGGUCAGUGAUGCCCUUCGAUGUUCAGGGCUGCACGCGCGCUACAAUGAUAACGACAACGAGUGUGUGCGUCGAAAGACGUGGGUAAUCUUUAAUCGUUAUCGUGAUGGGGAUUGACCGUCGUAAUUAUCGGUCAUGAAAGAGGAAUCCCUAGUAUGCGCAUUUUAUUAGAAUGUGCAGAUUGAGUCCCCGCCCUUUGUACACACCGCCCGUAGCUACUACCGAGUGAAUGGUGUCAUCAUCCGCUGGCAUUUACCUUUAGAUCCGUCCUCGGCCUGUCAAAAGCUGGGAUCACCGUCAAAGGCACACUGGAUUUACAAGGUCGGCUUUUCUCCGU
rnacentral:rRNA from 1 species